rnacentral:rRNA from 1 species
AAACUUUUAACAACGGAUCUCUUGGUUCUGGCAUCGAUGAAGAGCGCAGCGAAAUGCGAUAAGUAAUGUGAAUUGCAGAAUUCAGUGAAUCAUCGAAUCUUUGAACGCACAUUGCGCCCGCCAGCAUUCUGGCGGGCAUGCCUGUUCGAGCGUCAUUU